rnacentral:tRNA from 1 species
GACCGCAUAGCGUAGUGGAUUAGCACAUUUGACUUCGGACCAAAAGGUUGUGGGUUCGACUUCGACUGUGGUCG